rnacentral:lncRNA from 1 species
AUGAUGAGCCGAAGGCCGGAGCCCCGAGAAGGGGAAAGCCCGCCUGGUGACGGAGCUAAGGCCUGUGCGCAGCCGUGCAGCUGCGGCUCCGGGCGGGAACCGGGCGCCUGGGAGGGCUGCUGGCGCUCAGGGACCGGGGGUGCCGGCUCGGUGGCGGGAGGCGGCCGGUGGGCGUCGGGGCUCAGGACACCCUUGCUGGGUGCCAGGCCUGGAGGAAGGAGAGGCGCAGGGGGCAGGCACGGGGACAGUGUGGGCACAGCCGAGGGACCAGUGGGCCUUCCCAGCCAUGACACCUGCCGCCAGCCGGGUGCUCCCCGCGAUGACACCUGCGGGCCGGGCGCCCUGCCUGUCGCCCCAGAGCAGAAGAGCAGGGGAAGCGCGCUGCUGCCUUACGUGUCCCCUUCGGAAGACCCCGCGGCCGCCCCGGCCCCUCCUGCCCCACGCUGCCACCUCAGGGGCCUCCGCCGAGCCCUCCCGGGUACCCGCGGGCCCCAGAGGCAGCCGACCCGGACCCGGCGCAGGGGCUCCCCGUGCACCUGCUGCGCCCUGGCCCUAGAGGAGGGGGGUCUUAUACAGAGUGAUUCUUUUUUUAAAUAUUUAUUUAUUUAUUUAUUUAUUUAUUUAUUUAUUUAUUUGAGGGGAGGAGAGAGGGGGCAGGGGAGAGAGGGAGAGGGGGAGGGAGGAGAGAGAGAGGGAAGGGGAGAGGGAGAGAGAGAGGAAGAGAGGGGAGGAGAGAGGGGGAGAGAGGGAGGAAGGGGGAGAGAGGGGGAGAGAGACGAGGUGGAGAGAGACAGAGACAGAGAGAGAGAGACAAGGGGGGAGAGGGAGGGGGGAGGAGAGAAAGAGAGAAAGAUGAGGGGGGAGAGAGGGGGGAGGAGAGAGAGAGCACGCGUGCACCAGCCAGGGAGAGGGGCAGCAGGAGACGGGGUCAGACUCCCUGCUGAGCGGGGGCCCUGUCAUGGGGGGCUCCACCCCGGACCCCGAGAUCAUGCCCUGAGCUGA